GUUUGCAUGAAAGCCAUACGUUUUGCCCGAAACGUAAUGGUCCAUUGUAAGGGCCAUCUCAUGUGUUUCAUUGUGCAACAUUUUGCAUCAUUAAUAAAUGGAUGUUUUUGUAGUAAAAGUGGUGCUCCCUGUCUUUCAUUUAUUUUUGCAGUUUAAAAAAUAAAAAUGGCAAUGUUUAUUUUCAUUUUUCUUUCCUUUUGAUUUGUCUUGUUC
rnacentral:lncRNA from 1 species